rnacentral:RNase_P_RNA from 1 species
AGGGGUGAGCGGGCGAUCGCUCCUUUUGAUUUAAAUUGAAAGGAGAGGAAAGUCCGGACUUCGUGAAAAGAUAGUGGGUAAUGCCCACCAAUCCGUUCCGGCGGAUUAGGGAAAGUGCCACAGAGACAAUACUAGUUUAUCUUUUGAUAAAUGAAAGGUGAAAAGAAAUUAGGUGUUUAAGGGGCAACUCUUAAGCUACUUUUUUCGGCCUCCGGUGACGGAGAGUCGUGGUAAACCCUAUCUGAAGCAAGAGCAAACUUAUCUUUUUAAGAUAAGAAAAAGUAGCUCGCUUGAACUAGUUGGUAACAACUAGUCUUAGAUAAAUGAUCGCUAAAACAGAAUCCGGCUUAUAGCUGCCCCGAAAU